AGCUAGUUUGCUCUGGCCGUAAGCCCUCCGUGGAGAGUAACCCUUCUCACUGUUUAUGUCAUCCAGAUGGAUGCUGCCCCAUGUAUGGGCCACAGAAGCCACGGUGAUGAUCCUGGAGGGGGCUGAUUUCUUUAAGAGGUCAAGUAGAAGAUCUCGGCAGGCCAUGAUGACUCGAGCCCCUGAGGACAUCAUCACACAGAGAAGCUGAUAUUAAUGUGUCAUGGAAGAUUUCACACGAAACAGAGCAGAUAUCCAUCAUGGAUCUGAAAUAACUGUGUUUACAUACUGAAAUGUCCUUGCAUAAUAUUUCAUUUGGUGCUAAACUAGGAUGGAAGGCUGACGAGCUAACACAAUAGCUGUUUUCCUGGUAAUUACUAGUCAGAGCAAUUUGCCUGGCAAGCGUCAGAGUUUCUUUGUUGGAAUUCAACAGGUCCAUGUGGGAAAGUGUACAGUUUUACAUCUCUUUGGCAGAUAGUAUUGUGAUCCUGUCGUUUAUUUAUCAGCAUGCAUUCAAAGCUUCCAAGACCCUGUCGGUCUUAUAAGAUGAAUUAUUUGUUGUUUUGAUUGCAUAACAUUUGACAAGGACAAUGGGUAUGAUUUACCCUUGCAUUUGUUAUUUUCAUCCCAGAUUAUGAUGAUUCUAUGCAGUAUUAAAAAGAACAAACUACAAUGAUUAUGCAUCCACAAUAAAGCUAUCAACUGCAACAAUAGUG